AUGUCGCUCAAGGGCUACCACGAAGCCUCACUGCAUCCGCCGGCCGCGUACGAUGCGGCGGCGGCGGCGGCGGCGACGGCGGCGGCCGAGUGGGACUGGGGGGAAGCCCUCCUCGAUAGAUCCGCCUACAUGGUCGACAAGAAAGACCACAAGAAAAACCAUACCUCCGCCUGCCAUCGAUUCCGGAGGAGCCUGCACGACUGGGAGGUGGAGGUGGAGGUGGAGGUGGAGAUGCAGGUCAGCCUGUUCAUGGCGCCGCCGCCUCGCGUCUCCUACUUCUGCUGCUCCGCCAGCUGCACCGACGACGGCGACGACCACGGGGAACAGGAAGGCGCCCCCCGCCUGUUCGUCCGCGAGCCUUGGAUGAUCGCCACGGAGGGUGACCUUGCCCUCUUCACUCUCUGCCACGGCCACAACCGUGCCUUCUACAGCGAAAGCAGCAACUACGACUACUUCCUCUACCAGGCAGCAGCCUCGCUGGCGGGGUCGCCGGAGCUCACCCGGCUCCCGCGACCCCAACCCGACAUGCUGCCAGCUUUCGGAAAUCGCUGCUUCCCUACCGGCAGUAUCGGUGUCGUGCGUUACCGCAGCAACAUCCCCGAGGAUGAUGAUGCCUACAGGAUCGCGGCGCUCGCCUACGACUACUUCGACCCCAGCCAUUCCGGAUACUACCUCUGCACCUACGACUCCAAGGAUCCUCGGUGGAGACGCACGCCCGCUGCCUCUCCACACCCACCACCGCCUGACGACUUUCUGUCCAGCAAGGUCAUCAUCACCAUCCGCCGCUCCGGCUCCUGCUCCGGCUCCGGCUCCCCCCGUGGCAUCAUGGGCUGGGUCGACCUCUGGAGUGGCAUGCUCCUCUGCGACGUGCUCGCUGCCACCGAUGACACCCUCUGCACCCCGCUCCCGCUCCACUAUCUCACCCUUCCAGAGCCGAGGCAGCUGCGAACUGAGCUCCCUCUUGCCACAGACAUUGGAUACCACUUUCGGGACAUCGCCCUAGCCAAUGACUCCGGCAUCAUCAGGUUCGUCGACCUUCAGGUCCACGCCGAACCCAGCCCGCGCUCACAAACUCCUAGUGGCUGGACGCUGGUCACGUGGACCUUGGAGGGGCUCAAUGGCGGUCUGGACGCCCUGUUUUUCCGGCAGGAGCACGAGAUCCAUUCCCGAGAUAUCUACGGCUACAACCUGCCCCGAGCAAUGCUAGACGUACAGGAAGUUACAGGGGGUUUACGGGGCUGUUGGGGUGUGAUUGGCAGAGAUCUAAUUAGAAGGGCAGGCCCACCAGUGAAAAUCAGGGGGGCGCCAGUUAGAUGA
rnacentral:rRNA from 1 species